CGGCAGGUGACCGUACCUUUAGUGUACUACAUAUAGUUGGCUGUUAUAUGGGUGUGUACAAAACCCUAUGAGAAAGGAGAGGGCAAGCUGGUGCCAGCCGCCGCGGUAAAACCAGCUCUUCAAGUGGUCGGGAAUAUUAUUGGGCUUAAAGUGUCCGUAGCCGGUUUGCUAAGUCCCUGGUUAAAUCUGGCAGCUUAACUGUCAGGUCGCUAGGGAAACUGUCUUACUGGAGGGUGGGAAAGGUCUGAGGUACUCCAGGGGUAGCGGUGAAAUGCGAUAAUCCCUUGGGGGACCACCAGUGGCGAAGGCGUCAGACUGGAACACGCCUGACGGUGAGGGACGAAAGCCAGGGGAGCGAACGGGAUUAGAUACCCCGGUAGUCCUGGCUGUAAACGAUGCGUUGCUAGGUUGUUGGUAGGGCUCUGAGCCGUACCAGUGCCGUAGGGAAACUGUUAAGCGCGCCGCCUGGGAAGUACGCUCGCAAGGGUGAAACUUAAAGGAAUUUGGCGGGGGAGCACCACAAGGGGUGAAGCCUUGCGGUUCAAUUGGACUCAACGCCGGGAAACUUACCGGGGGCGACAGCAGAAUGAAGGUCAGGCUGAUGACCUUACCAGACAAGCUGAGCGGAGGGUGCAUGGCCGUCGCCAGUUCGUGCCGUGAGGUAUCCCUGUUAAGUCAGGCAAACGAACGAAGACCCACCAUGUUUUAGUUGCCCAUCAAGAGCCUUCGGGUUUGUUGGGACGCUAAACAGACUGCCAUCGUACAGGUGGAGGAAGGAGUGGGCUACGGCAGGUCAGUAUGCCCCUAAUCCCCCGGCCACACGCGGCUGCAAUGGGAUGACAAUGGGUUGCGACUCCGAAAGGAGAAGCCAAUCUCGAAACCAUCUCUCAGUUGGGAUUGCCGGCUGUAACCCGCCGACAUGAACGUGAAUCCCUAGUAAUCGUGUGCACAUCGCCGUACUUUUC
rnacentral:rRNA from 1 species